UGCUCGGUUUGAAGACUUGCCAGCUGGGUGAAGAAGCUUUCUGACAAACAUCCAAAUCACUCUAAUAGGCCCAAGUUGAGCAUAUGUUAGAUGGUCUGGAUGACAUGGAUGGUGCCGAGGAUGUCCCUUUUGAUGAGCUCAUAGGCAUGCAAGGCUUAGUAUUUCACUUGGUUGAGAAUGCAAUUACAAUAUGUAUUACAUACAAGUCUGAUGGAUUCAAGAGAAUGAAGAGUAAAUAAUACUAUACUAUAAAUACGUCAACUACAGAUAACCCUUCCAACUACAAUGUUGCACCUGACAACCUCCUACUCAACGAGGCCAAGCUAUCUGCAGGGGACCAUGCCCCUGGACGUUCCUAAGAGGUGUGCUGCUAGAUGACCUUCUUGCUGCUGAAACAACAAAUGCUUGUAACUGCAGCUCCUGCUAACAUGCAAGCUGGAUGAGCACCGGGU